rnacentral:siRNA from 1 species
GACCACGUGUGGUUGGUUGUUGUC